rnacentral:tRNA from 1 species
AGGCAAGUAGCUCAGUUGGUUAGAGCACCACCUUGACAUGGUGGGGGUCGUUGGUUCGAGUCCAAUCGCGCCUACCA